rnacentral:lncRNA from 1 species
AACAUCUCGGAUAUAUGUAAUACUCUGCUUCAUGUCGGUAUUUAUAUGAGCUAAAAUGAGUCAAGUCAGUAUUUAUAUGAGUUGAGAUGAAUCAGGUCGGUAUAUAUAUAAACAGAUGAUGAUACUUCAUCAGAAGUCAAUUCAGGUAGCUAAGGUCGGUAUUUAGAUAAGCUGAGUUGAGUCAGGUCAGCAUUCAGCCUCCAAUUCAGAUCAAUAUUCAGCCUCCAAUUCAGGUCGGUUUUAUAUGAACUCAAUUUUCAAUUUAGAUCGACUUUCUUAUGAACUCAACUUCCAAUUCAGAUCGACUUUCUUAUGAACUCAGCCUCCAAU